CUUGUCUGAGGGGACAGGAGGAUCACCCUCGUCGUCGCUUCGGCCAGUGCGUCGGGCUGGGCCCUGACAAGCCACCUGAGGAGAGGCUCGGAGCCGGGCCCGGACCCCGGGGAUUGCCGCCCGCUUCUCUCUAGUCUCACGAGGGGUUUCCCGCCUCGCACCCCCACCUCUGGACUUGCCUUUCCUUCUCUCUCCGCGUGUGGAGGGAGCCAGCGCUUAGGCCGGAGCGAGCCUGGGGGCCGCCCGCCGUGAAGACAUCGCGGGGACCGAUUCACCAUG
rnacentral:other from 1 species